rnacentral:rRNA from 1 species
AGUGAACGCUGGCGGUAGGCCUAACACAUGCAAGUCGAACGGCAGCACAGUAAGAGCUUGCUCUUACGGGUGGCGAGUGGCGGACGGGUGAGGAAUACAUCGGAAUCUACUUUUUCGUGGGGGAUAACGUAGGGAAACUUACGCUAAUACCGCAUACGACCUACGGGUGAAAGCAGGGGAUCUUCGGACCUUGCGCGAUUGAAUGAGCCGAUGUCGGAUUAGCUAGUUGGCGGGGUAAAGGCCCACCAAGGCGACGAUCCGUAGCUGGUCUGAGAGGAUGAUCAGCCACAGUGGAGCUGAGACACGGUCCAGACUCCGACGGGAGGCAGCAGUGGGGAAUAUUGGACAAUGGGCGCAAGCCUGAUCCAGCCAUACAGCGUGGGUGAAGAAGGCCUGCGGGUUGUAAAGCCCUUUUGUUGGGAAAGAAAAGCAGCAGGUUAAUACCCCGCUGUUCUGACGGAACCCAAAGAAUAAGCACCGGCGAACUUCGU